AAAACCCUUAAACGCACGAAAAAGCCACCUCAAAAGUGUGACGACACGGAUGAGAAAUGCUCGAGGGCAGAUGGCAAGUGUCGACAGACCUGCAAACAACACGAGACUGUUGAAAAGGGAAAAUGUAAAGGAGAAAAGUGCAAAUGUUGCGUGAAAGUCGAAGGAAAGAAAAAAUUCAAGCGCACGAAAAGGCCACUUCGAAAGUGUGAUGACCCGGACGGUAAAUGCUCGAAGGCAGAUGGCAAAUGUCGACAGACCUGCAAACAACACGAGACGGUUGAGAAGGGAAAAUGUAAAGGAGAAAAUUGCAAGUGUUGCGUGAAAGUCGAAGG